UUCCGUGUGAAAGGACGUUUUUUGUGCAGUUUUUCUCCAACUGCUUUUCAGUUUUACAAAACAAGAAAAUUUUUUAAUUUUUUUUCUCUUCCUAAUGGAACAUUUUUUUGUUGUAAUAAUCUACACAUUUAUAAAAAGGAAAUAAAAAAAUAUAACCAACUAACUAACACAUUUCGUAAAGAAACUAAAAAGAAAGUACGACUGCAACAAUAAUAGCAGGCCGAUAAAAUUGCAACAAAAGAGGAAAAAAGUAAAAUUAAAUAAAAAAGCCGUGUAUAAAUUUGAAAAUCAGUGUGUUUUAUGUUAUAGCUAGUUUUGAAAUAAAUUUUGUUUUAAGUUCUUUAAAUAAACCAAAAAAAAGGAAAUAAAAAAACUGUGCUAAAGUGUUUAUGUAGUGAAAAAAGUAACAAAUAAUUCCUAAAACAAUAACAACAGCAGCCGGAAUUUAAGUUAAGAAACAAAAGUGUUAACAGAAAUCUAAACAUAAUUAAAAAAAAAUUGAGAUAGAGGAAAAAUUUAUAAAAAAUAGAAAAACAAAAGCAACAAAAAUUAGUAUUAC